rnacentral:rRNA from 1 species
CCAGGGCGGCUAUCUGCAGUCGAGCGGACGAAGGGAGCUUGCUCCCGGACGUUAGCGGCGGACGGGUGAGUAACACGUGGGCAACCUGCCCCUUAGACUGGGAUAACUCCGGGAAACCGGAGCUAAUACCGGAUAAUCCCUUUCUCCACCUGGAGAGAGGGUGAAAGAUGGCUUCUGCUAUCACUAGGGGAUGGGCCCGCGGCGCAUUAUCUAGUUGGUAAGGUAACGGCUUACCAAGGCGACGAUGCGUAGCCGACCUGAGAGGGUGAUCGGCCACACUGGGACUGAGACACGGCCCACACUCCUACGGGAGGCAGCAGUAGGGAAUCUUCCGCAAUGGACGAAAGUCUGACAGAGCAACGCCGCGUGAGUGAGGAAGGCCUUCGGGUCGUAAAGCUCUGUUGUGAGGGAAGAAACGGUACCGUUCGAAUAGGGCGGUACCUUGACGGUACCUCACCACAAAGCCACGGCUAACUACGUGCCACCAGCCGCGGUAAUACAUAUGUGGCAAGCGUUGUCCGGAAUUAUUGGGCGUAAAGCGCGCGCACGCGGCUUCUUAAGUCUGAUGUGAAAUCUCGGGGCUCAACCCCGAGCGGCCAUUGUAAACUGGGGAGCUUGAGUGCACAAAAGGAGAGUGGAAUUCCACGUGUAUCGCUGAAAUGCGUAUAGAUGUGGAGGAACACCACUGGCGAAAGCGACUCUCUGGUCUGUAACUGACACUGAGGCGCGAAAGCGUGUGGAGCACACACGAUUAGAUACCCUGGUAGUCCACGCCGUAUACAAUGAGUGCUAUGUGUUAUGGGUUUCUAUGCCCGUAGUGCCGAAUUAACACAU